rnacentral:tRNA from 1 species
GAGGGUAUAGCUCAAGUGGUAGAGCAUAUACUUAGCAUGUACUAGGUCCUGGGCUCAAUCCCCAGUACCUCCG